CAAACUGGGAUUCAAUAAUGGACCCGCACCGAUAUCCGGAGCGCGGCAUGAACUCGAGAGCCAGCUUGUGCUCCUUGUCGAUAUCACAGCCAGCACAAACAGCUUUGGAGUCGUCGGGGAGGACAGUGGUCGUGUUCUCGAACGAGGAUCGGAUGGCAGGCAGCUAAAUCAGCAUCAGGUGCGAGAUGUACUCUUUCUUAUAUUAGAUCGCUAGUAACUUCAUUCAGAAGAUAAGAUAGUAUAAAAAGCAUGUGAGACGAGAUUCUAUAUGCGCUCAUAACAGAGUAAAAAUACGUUUCAGUCAACUCAUCUGAGAAUUAAUUAUACGGGCGGGCCCAUAGCAAAAGACACCACACGAUCUAAAUUUUUUUUUUAAUUUUAUUUUAAUCAAAAGAUAAAUAAAAAGAUAGGAAUCUUACGAUAAUACAUCAAAGCAAGUCUUUACAGAUUAAACCAACAAACACCACCCGACACAGUCUCAGUCUUGCCCAGAUCUAUCUUUGUUUAUUUCGUCAAGAAUGACGAUGAGCGAUGCAACGAAGGCGUAAUCCACGUUCGGGUACACGGUCACACCGAACGUAUCCUUUCCAAGUAACACGUUCUUCACAGUGUAUUUACGGCUCAUCUACAGAAAAAUCAAAUCAAUAUACAUCAUCAAUUAGAUGGUGAGAAUACAGAUGAUAAUUAAUUAUUAUUAUUUCUCUUACUUGGGCUACGAUGGAGUUGGAUUCCCCGAGAUAAACAGUGCAUGACCUCUCAAAGUAACUCCCCUUGAUCUUGAAAUCACACGCCUCCUCGUUGGUGUUGGAAGCCAUGAUCACAUGUAACUCGGUCUUAAAUUGCAGCAGCCUGGACUUCUUGACG